GACUCUCGGCAACGGAUAUCUCGGCUCUCGCAUCGAUGAAGAACGUAGCGAAAGAUACUUGGUGUGAAUUGCAGAAAUCCGUGAACCAUCGAGUCUUUGAACGCAAGUUGCGCCCGAAGCCGUUAGCCAGGGCACGUCUGCCUGGGCGUCA
rnacentral:rRNA from 1 species